UCGGCCCCGGUUCACGCAUGCCGCAACCCGCGGUAGCGACCCGGUGCC
rfam:Streptomyces sp. NRRL F-6491 P443contig16.1, whole genome shotgun sequence.